CAGAAAGGUCACAAAUAGCACAGAGGCCAGGUAUGAAGGAUCCUAAGGACACAGAAGGCUGAGACCUCAAGAGCUCAGUUCAAAGCCAACCUGGACAGGAAAAAUCUGUGAGAAAAUUUGAGCCAAGGAUUCACUUUACCUGUUUCUAACCUGGUACCCUAAACCCCAUCCCCCCACCCCCCUAGGCACUCUCAGAGGGAGCAGUGCCUCUCUAUGGAUCCUCUGGUAUUGUCUGACUCCACAUCUGCUCAUUUCUCAGGGGUGGAUUUGAUGAGACCUCUAAUAUUCCAAAGGUCUAGAUGUCACAAUAUGUUUAACAGAAUGUAGCAUAAAUGGCAAAAUAAAGCAGCAAGGAAUCAUGACUUGUCUAUACAUAUAAUUGUGUGCAGAAGUUAAGGAAUUUAGGGUAAUCUCUGCAAAAAAAAAACGAUAAAGUCUCAAAAUAACUUUGCUAAUGUCUAGGAUUAGGAUUAGG